GCGGAGGAAAAGAAACUAACAAGGAUUCCCCUAGUAACGGCGAGUGAACCGGGAAGAGCUCAAAUUUGAAAUCUGGCGUGCUCAGUGCGUCCGAGUUGUAAUCUAUAGAGGCGUUUUCCGUGCCGGACUGUGUCUAAGUCCCUUGGAACAGGGUAUCAAAGAGGGUGAUAAUCCCGUACUUGACACAAUGACCGGUGCUCUGUGAUACGUCUUCUACGAGUCGAGUUGUUUGGGAAUGCAGCUCAAAAUGGGUGGUGAGUUCCAUCUAAAGCUAAAUAUUGGCGAGAGACCGAUAGCGAACAAGUACCGUGAGGGAAAGAUGAAAAGCACUUUGGAAAGAGAGUUAAACAGUACGUGAAAUUGUUGAAAGGGAAACGAUUGAAGUCAGUCGUGACUGAGAGGCUCAGCCGGUUCUGCCGGUGUAUUCCCCUCAGUCGGGUCAACAUCAGUUUUGUUCGGUGGAUAAGGGCAGCUGGAAGGUGGCACCUCCGGGUGUGUUAUAGCCAGCUGUCGCAUACAUCGAAUGAGACUGAGGAAUGCAGCUCGCCUUUAUGGCCGGGGUUCGCCCACGUCCGAGCUUAGGAUGUUGACAUAAUGGCUUUAAACGACCCGUCUUG
rnacentral:rRNA from 1 species